rnacentral:rRNA from 1 species
CAGUCGCCGCGGUAAAACCGAGGGUGCAAGCGUUAAUCGGAAUUGCUGGGCGUAAAGCGCGCGUAGGUGGUUUGUUAAGUUGGAUGUGAAAUCCCCGGGCUCAACCUGGGAACUGCAUCCAAAACUGGCAAGCUAGAGUAUGGUAGAGGGUGGUGGAAUUUCCUGUGUAGCGGUGAAAUGCGUAGAUAUAGGAAGGAACACCAGUGGCGAAGGCGACCACCUGGACUGAUACUGACACUGAGGUGCGAAAGCGUGGGGAGCAAACAGGAUUAGAUACCCGAGUAGUCCCUGUCUCUUAUAC